UCAUAGAGAAAGAUAAUUGGUGCCGGCUGUUAUGCAAGAUGCAUAAUAAAGCCGGUUAAAAGGGAAACAGGUGUAAUUCCUGUACGAUCUCGUCACUGUGAUAAGGGAGUCCGGAUUCAAUAUGUCACUGAUGCUUUGGCAUUGGGAAGGCGCAAUCCGGGUGAAGAUCUUUUAGCCAGGAAACCUGCCAGCUAUCUGGUACAGGG
rnacentral:ncRNA from 2 species